rnacentral:lncRNA from 10 species
CAUCCUUAUCCCUGAAAACAAAAGGUCACAGAAGGGAAACUGAACAAACUGGCCUUGCUGAGUUUCCCCAGUUUAUAAUCAUCAUGUCAUACUUUUCACCCUAUUAUAUUUCUCUAUGACUCUCCUCUCUUCAUCAAACCCAGCAUAAAAAUACACAGGUUUAAAAAAUACACAGGUUUAACUGUUUCUUCAGGUAUUUAUUUCCUUAUGAAAGCUCCCAUUUCAUGUAAAAUGCAUGUUAAAUAAACAUGUAAGCUUUUCUCUGGUUCAUCUGUCUUUUGUUAUAGGGGCCUCAGCCAUGAACCUAAGAUGGAGAGAGGAAAAGCUGGUCUCCUCCCCUACAAAGCGAUAGAUGAUUAUAAUUUCCACAUGGUGAGGCACCCCUUCUGCCGUGUUUUGCCCUAUUCCCGGAGCCUAGGACACAGCCUUUAUGGAGUGUAGCCUGAUAAUGUAGUUACUGAAUGAAACAAAUCUUCCUGGCACACGUUCUUCACCCCUGAAAACAACAUGGAUGAUGAGUGCAGACUGCAAAACAGCUCACUGGCAAUUGCUCUCAAUUCACUCAAACCCUGCGAAGACUGAUGCCUUGUCAUGAAGACAUAAGAGAGAUAUAAAAGAGCGAAACACCACACAUGAAGCUAAGAACUGUUAGGGAGGAAGAAAAGACGGGAAGAGAGCAACAUACAUCAUCCUAUUACGGAGGCAAGGAAAGGGGAGAAGAGAUAAAGACCAGGAGGGAAACGCGGACGGGAGCUGAUGAGGCAUCACCAUGCAAGAACAUUGCUCCAGAUGGCCGAAGGGAAGGUGCUGGCAUCGCUGCACUCAGGAUUAUUAUCCUAUAACUAGCAAAGCAUAUUUACUAAGGAGAGGCUGGUUUUUCUUCCGUACUAAGAAGGAUAAUUUCAGCUAAUUAAUUUGUUCUGCUGAACUGACAGCCACCGAGGAUGUGUCUGCAUGCCUUAUAAGCAUAUUCUUGGUUCAUUUACUGAGAUCCCACAGAGAAGUUCAAUAUCUAGAGUUAAGCAAAUAAAAAAUAAGUUGUUCUUGUUUCAAGGACCAAGCUCGGGACAUGAAAAGCAUCAAAGUGCUCUAAGCAGGAGGACAAUGACAUGCAACAUCUGAGGCAUUGUUAAGGCCUGGCCUACUCAAUGCAUAUUGUCACACGCCAACCAUUUUCCAGAUACCUAGGUUCAUGCUAAAGGUACAGAUAUCAGCACAGCUCCACCCUGAAAUAAAUCACAGUAUAAUGAGGCAGACACACCCAGAAACAACUCUGACACAGGGCAAAAAGAAAUGAGUUGCUAAACACAAAAUUAAGCUACAUGACAUGGGAAUACAAGGAAGGAAUGCAAACAGGAGAAGGGUGUUCAACACUUUGUGUUUGUGCACAUCUUAUCACUGUGCUAUGCAAAUCUCUACAUUCAUACAGAGCUGCAUACAAACGAGGGUAGGUUGGUGAUAUGAUAAACAAAAUACCAUCCUAGAGAUUGAAAGUAUGGAACUUCCUACAAACAUUGGCCAAGUGGUAUGUGGUAAAUGAGGACAACACUGCAAAUAGCGCCACUGCCUGUGGCCACCCGAUGCAGUGCUCACCCAGGAGGGCUGCUCUGCUGGGGAGCUGCAGGAUGGCACCAAUAGCUCUGCUUCGAGCCCAGGUCAAUAAUAAGAAGAGGGGUUGCCAUUUCCAGCAAGAGGUUGCAAACAUCAUUUCUCUGGGCUCCAAUUGUCUGAUGGUGCCCUGUUCUACAGAAGGGUCAACUAUACAACAGACAGGUGUGUGUAAAGCUGGAUGCUUAAGAAAUGUGACAAGGUUAGAGGGAAAACAUGCUCCAAAGCAAAGUUUCAGUGUGGUAAUUGAAGAUGAACAUGGGGUCAUUUUAAAACCAUGUCUGAAUCCCAACAGAGCAUGUUCCGACAUGGUUCAGCUUGACUGCUUUAUGUAAACAUGAAAAUGCCAUCGCCUGGCAAAACAAACUUCUCCCAGGAGAGCCUGUUCUCUCAACACAACAAGAGGAAAGGGAUAGUGGAAGCAGGAGAGUUGAGACCAUGAAGUCAUGAAGUUCAAGAAUGCCUUCCUUUGAAGGUUUAAUACAGAAAAGCUUUCGGGGGAAGGAGGAGAGUUUAAAGAAGUCCUGGUUCUCCGGCAUCCACAGUAAUACCUUUGCCUUGAAGGAGAAAGAUGGCCUUGGCUAUCAAGAAUGGGGAGAAAAGGCAGAAGCUACCACCCAAAAUUUUCAGAGCACCAACCAAAUCAAAGGAAAUAAAUACUAAUGGGUGAAGUAGAGUUUAAAAAUAACACAAGUAAUGUACACUCUCCCCUUACUAUUGUUUUUAAUUUUUAAUUUUUUAAUUGACAGUUUGUACAUAUUUAUAGGAUACAAUUUGAUAUUUUGAUACAUAUGUAUGUUGUAAAAUGAUCAAAUCAGGGCACUUAGUGUGUCCAUGAUCUCAUGCAUUUAUCAUUUAUUUGUAGUGAGAAUAUUCCAAAGCCUCUUAUCUAGCUAUUUUGUAAGGUACACUAUCAUCUUACUGUCAACCACAGUCACUCCACUGUAUAACAGAACAUCAAAACAUAUUCCUCUUAUCUAAUUGUAACUUUGUAUUUGCUGUUGCUAGUUCUAUCAUUUUAACAGAGAGAGAAAUAAACUUCCAGCUACAACAAUCAUGGAAUCACAGCUCUAUGUCUCCCACCUAAAAAUAUUUCCUACACAAAAUGCAAGGUAGACGUAGGUUUCAAAACUUAUCUGCACUCUAUUUUAUGAUCUUUGUUUUCAUUUUCAUAUAUGUGAGCAUAUUUCUAUUAUGUUAUUAAAAUGUGGUAGUAAUUGCUGCAUGGUAUUUAUUCCAAACUCCAAAACCUUCAAAUCCUGUAUCACUGAACAAACUGUUUCAAAUUUCCCAUUAAUCUUAUGUUAAAAAUAAAC